GCUCAGAUUGUCAUCUCUUUUCGCCACAAUUAAGUUGUUGGGUAUUGAUCGAUUCUUUUCUGUAGGAUUGAAAGGUUUGUCAAAGCGGUGAACAUUUAUUUGUCGAUGACUGAAUCAAUAGGGCCUUAUUGUAUGUUCUUGCUGCUGGGGAUGCACUGAAGAUGCAGAUACCAAUGUGUUCGGCGACUUUAGUGAUGAUUGGGAUGCGUGGAAAUGGAACAUUCCAAGAGCAGCAACUUUAGUAGGAGGAUCGCCAGUUAUCCAUCAGAAUAGGAUUUUUCAUCCCCUCAUGCCUUUUGAGUCCUGCAAGUCUCACUGGGUGGAAUAUCCCAAAAUCAUAUACAAUGCUCUGCUGGUAGAAUCUUCUUUCACGUCCUAUUCUUUAUGAGACGACUUUUAUUUUGUCUUGCAUAUAGCACCAAAACCUGUUGUCUUUUGAGGACGUGCUGAUAAUUCUGAUUGAAUUGGUCACAAGCUGCUUGCAUCUGCAUGUAAAUCAAUGUUUCGAGCGAGCAAACACUAGUGUUGUGAUUCCUGAGCACUGGUCAUCUAAUCAUGUAGAACAAGCACAUUGUAUUGCUGUUUCAUUUUGUUGAUAGGAUCAUAUAAGCAUUACUCAGAAGUUUGUUACGUAAGUUCUUCCACAAGUCAAGGUGGCUCGAACUAUUUCUGUGUGCUGCAUUUUUUAUUCCCAAAUGCAUAGUGAGCCGCUGAACCAGAGGGAGAGCUAGUGAGGUACCCGGUACCCAAUGCGUUCAACGUAUAUGGCAGCUACAUAGUCAGCCAAGAGGUGGUUCUAGAUGGAAACCCCGCUGUGAAGGACUGACCAAGAAUUGGAACAACUUGAGCUGAAGUCAACCUUGGAUUAAUGAAGGAGAUCAGAUCAAGUCAUGAUCGGAUGCCUUGUCAUAUUGGAGUGAUCAUUUGGACCAGACAGACUAUGGAAACAAUCUAC